rnacentral:rRNA from 1 species
UACUCGAGUGGCGAACGGGUGAGUAACACGUGGGUGAUCUACCCUGCACUUCGGGAUAAGCUUGGGAAACUGGGUCUAAUACCGGAUAGGAGCCAUCUUUAGUGUGGUGGUUGGAAAGUUUUUUCGGUGUAGGAUGAGCUCGCGGCCUAUCAGCUUGUUGGUGGGGUAAUGGCCUACCAAGGCGGCGACGGGUAGCCGGCCUGAGAGGGUGUACGGCCACAUUGGGACUGAGAUACGGCCCAG